rnacentral:rRNA from 1 species
UACGGGGGGGGCAAGCGUUGUUCGGAAUUACUGGGCGUAAAGGGCUCGUAGGUGGCCAACUAAGUCGGACGUGAAAUCCCUCGGCUUAACCGGGGAACUGCGUCUGAUACUGGAUGGCUUGAGUUCGGGAGAGGGAUGCGGAAUUCCAGGUGUAGCGGUGAAAUGCGUAGAUAUCAGGAGGAACACCGGUGGCGAAGGCGGGUCUCUGGGCCGAUACUGACGCUGAGGAGCGAAAGCGUGGGGAGCGAACAGG